rnacentral:tRNA from 1 species
GUCUCUGUGGCUCAGUCGGUAGAGCGUUGGUCUCAUAUUAUCUUGUCAAUAUGACGCUGGCAUCCAAGCCAGGGAUAUCCAAAGGUCGCAAGUUCGAGCCUUGCCAGGGACA